rnacentral:lncRNA from 1 species
GAGAUGAUAAAGCUUUAUAAUUGCUCUGUCUUCCCCCACCCCCUCCCUUCUUUGUCUCUUUUCUUUUUUGUUGUCGUUGCCUCUUUUUCUCACUCCACAUGGGAUCACAGUGCUACACAAUACUACCCUGUUACUAGAGAUUGAUGGGCUAACUCAGCAUAAAUGGAGGCUGACCUCAAAUGCACACAGUAACAACUGAAGUACCUUCAUGUCCACCCCCAGUCAGAGGUCUCUGAGUAUUGGGAUUUGAACAAAUGCACCCCUCUCUUCUCCAGGUCUUCUCUUUUCUCUGAACUUCAUAGGAAUGUGCUGAUAAGAUGGCUCCACAGGAUCAGGCUAGAAUCUGUAUGACUGGAACCUAAUUCAAGGACAUCAAGAUUUGGAGAUACUAUCCUGCUGAUAUCAUUGAUCACCUAUUGAUUAGGAGCGACUGACAAAGAAGAUAGACCAUGGGGCUCACCGAGGCAGGCAAUGAGGUUUUAAUACACAUCCAAGCUCCAGGUGUAGUUGUUGUCUUCAGAAAUGUAGAGAGGCUCCAACAUUUGGGCAGAGAAGAUGAACUCUGCAGAAGGUUUCUUGGUGACUCAUCUCAUCCCACAGUGAAAAUAAAGGCAGAAUUCAGAAUGGCUGUUGCAGGCUUUUUGACCAUGGGAAGGACAAAUCCUGCUGAAUAUCAUCAGAGGAAAAGAACUUAAAUGAAGUUUAACUGAAGUAUGUGGUGCGGUUGCUAUAGCAAAAGUGAUGGAAGCCUCCUUGCUUUGGCUGUUGAGAGCAAGGCUGACAAAUGCA